rnacentral:rRNA from 1 species
UACGGGGGGGGCAAGCGUUGUUCGGAAUUACUGGGCGUAAAGGGCUCGUAGGCGGCCAACUAAGUCGGACGUGAAAUCCCUCGGCUUAACCGGGGAACUGCAUCCGAUACUGGAGGGCUUGAGUUUGGGAGAGGGAUGCGGAAUUCCAGGUGUAGAGGUGAAAUUCGUAGAUAUUCGCAAGAACACCAGUGGCGAAGGCGGCUCACUGGCCCGGUACUGACGCUGAGGUGCGAAAGCGUGGGGAGCAAACAGG